ensembl:misc_RNA
AUUGAUGACUCUAGAGACAGUGACUCCUCUGUUUAUCCACAGAGCAGGUACCACACAGGCAAUGGCAAUGCACGUUUCACCUUACAUGCUGUUCUCCCUUACCUGUUACCAAUGGGCUUCAGAUCUGACCUUUAGGGACCAUUUUUAAGGAUGAGAAGAGAAGUGCAAUUUCCCAGUCCACUAAAUCCUUGGACUCU